UACGUAGGGGGCAAGCGUUGUCCGGAAUCAUUGGGCGUAAAGCGCGUGUAGGCGGCCCAGUAAGUCCGCUGUGAAAGCCCAGGGCUCAACCCUGGGAUGCCGGUGGAUACUGUUGGGCUCGAGUCCGGAAGAGGCGAGUGGAAUUCCCGGUGUAGCGGUGAAAUGCGCAGAUGUCGGGAGGAACACCAAUGGCGAAGGCAGCUCGCUGGGACGUGACUGACGCUGAGACGCGAAAGCGUGGGGAGCAAACAGG
rnacentral:rRNA from 1 species